rnacentral:rRNA from 1 species
AGUGAACGCUGGCGGUAGGCCUAACACAUGCAAGUCGAACGGCAGCACAGUAAGAGCUUGCUCUUACGGGUGGCGAGUGGCGGACGGGUGAGGAAUACAUCGGAAUCUACUUUUUCGUGGGGGAUAACGUAGGGAAACUUACGCUAAUACCGCAUACGACCUACGGGUGAUAGCAGGGGAUCUUCGGACCUUGCGCGAUUGAAUGAGCCGAUGUCGGAUUAGCUAGUUGGCGGGGUAAAGGCCCACCAAGGCGACGAUCCGUAGCUGGUCUGAGAGGAUGAUCAGCCACACUGGAACUUAGACACGGUCCAGACUCCUACGGGAGGCAGCAGUGGGGAAUAUUGGACAAUGGGCGCAAGCCUGAUCCAGCCAUACCGCGUGGGUGAAGAAGGCCUUCGGGUUGUAAAGCCCUUUUGUUGGGAAAGAAAAGCAGCAGGUUAAUACCCCGCUGUUCUGACGGUACCCAAAGAAUAAGCACCGGCUAACUUCGUG